AGUCGUACGCAAGUUUUUAACUUGAGUGGCGGACGGGUGAGUAACACGUAAGAAUUUACCUUUAGGAGGGGGACAACAGCUGGAAACGGCUGCUAAUACCCCAUAUGCUUUCGAGUGAAAUGGAAUUUUCCGCCUAGAGAGAAGCUUGCGGCUGAUUAGCUUGUUGGUGGGGUAAUGGCCCACCAAGGCGACGAUCAGUAUCUGGUUUGAGAGGACGAUCAGACACACUGGAACUGAGACACGGUCCAGACUCCUACGGGAGGCAGCAGUGGGGAAUUUUCCGCAAUGGGCGAAAGCCUGACGGAGCAAUACCGCGUGAGGGAUGACGGCCUAUGGGUUGUAAACCUCUUUUUUCAGGGAGGAAUCAAUGACGUGUACCUGAAGAAUAAGCAUCGGCUAACUCCGUGCCAGCAGCCGCGGUAAGACGGAGGAUGCAAGUGUUAUCCGGAAUCACUGGGCGUAAAGCGUCUGUAGGUGGUUUAAUAAGUCAACUGUUAAAUCUUGAGGCUCAACUUCAAAAUCGCAGUCGAAACUAUUAGACUAGAGUAUAGUAGGGGUAAAGGGAAUUUCCAGUGGAGCGGUGAAAUGCGUAGAGAUUGGAAAGAACACCGAUGGCGAAGGCACUUUACUGGGCUAUUACUGACACUCAGAGACGAAAGCUAGGGUAGCAAAUGGGAUUAGAUACCCCAGUAGUCCUAGCCGUAAACAAUGGAUACUAGAUGUUGAACAGAUCGACCUGUGCAGUAUUAAAGCUAACGCGUUAAGUAUCCCGCCUGGGAAGUAUGCACGCAAGUGUGAAACUCAAAGGAAUUGACGGGGGCCCGCACAGGCGGUGGAGCAUGUGGUUUAAUUCGAUGCAACGCGAAGAA
rnacentral:rRNA from 1 species